GCGAGCCGUAUGACAAGUAAUUGUCGUGUACGGUUCCUAGGGGGCGGGGUCACAGCAAUGUGACCCUGCUACCCGGC
rnacentral:ncRNA from 1 species